rnacentral:rRNA from 1 species
UGGGGAAUCUUGGACAAUGGGCGCAAGCCUGAUCCAGCGACGCCGCGUGGGUGACGAAGGCCUUCGGGUUGUAAAGCCCUUUUCCCGGGGACGAUGAUGACGGUACCCGGGGAAUAAGCACCGGCUAACUCCGUGCCAGCAGCCGCGGUAAGACGGAGGGUGCUAGCGUUGUUCGGAAUUACUGGGCGUAAAGGGCGCGUAGGCGGCCGCUCAAGUCGGGUGUGAAAGCCCGGGGCUCAACCCCGGAACUGCACUCGAGACUGGGUGGCUGGAGAUCGGAAGAGGAGAGUGGAACACCCAGUGUAGAGGUGAAAUUCGUAGAUAUUGGGUAGAACACCGGUGGCGAAAGCGGCUCUCUGGUCCGAUUCUGACGCUGAGGCGCGAAAGCGUGGGGAGCAAACA